rnacentral:rRNA from 1 species
CCGUACACAAAAAUGCACAUGCUGUGAGCUCGAUGAGUAGGGCGGGACACGUGGUAUCCUGUCUGAAUAUGGGGGGACCAUCCUCCAAGGCUAAAUACUCCUGACUGACCGAUAGUGAACCAGUACCGUGAGGGAAAGGCGAAAAGAACCCCGGCGAGGGGAGUGAAAAAGAACCUGAAACCGUGUACGUACAAGCAGUGGGAGCACGCUUAGGCGUGUGACUGCGUACCUUUUGUAUAAUGGGUCAGCGACUUAUAUUCUGUAGCAAGGUUAACCGAAUAGGGGAGCCGAAGGGAAACCGAGUCUUAACUGGGCGUUAAGUUGCAGGGUAUAGACCCGAAACCCGGUGAUCUAGCCAUGGGCAGGUUGAAGGUUGGGUAACACUAACUGGAGGACCGAACCGACUAAUGUUGAAAAAUUAGCGGAUGACUUGUGGCUGGGGGUGAAAGGCCAAUCAAACCGGGAGAUAGCUGGUUCUCCCCGAAAGCUAUUUAGGUAGCGCCUCGUGAAUUCAUCUCCGGGGGUAGAGCACUGUUUCGGCAAGGGGGUCAUCCCGACUUACCAACCCGAUGCAAACUGCGAAUACCGGAGAAUGUUAUCACGGGAGACACACGGCGGGUGCUAACGUCCGUCGUGAAGAGGGAAACAACCCAGACCGCCAGCUAAGGUCCCAAAGUCAUGGUUAAGUGGGAAACGAUGUGGGAAGGCCCAGACAGCCAGGAUGUUGGCUUAGAAGCAGCCAUCAUUUAAAGAAAGCGUAAUAGCUCACUGGUCGAGUCGGCCUGCGCGGAAGAUGUAACGGGGCUAAACCAUGCACCGAAGCUGCGGCAGCGACGCUGAUGCGUUGUUGGGUAGGGGAGCGUUCUGUAAGCCUGUGAAGGUGUGCUGUGAGGCAUGCUGGAGGUAUCAGAAGUGCGAAUGCUGACAUAAGUAACGAUAAAGCGGGUGAAAAGCCCGCUCGCCGGAAGACCAAGGGUUCCUGUCCAACGUUAAUCGGGGCAGGGUGAGUCGACCCCUAAGGCGAGGCCGAAAGGCGUAGUCGAUGGGAAACAGGUUAAUAUUCCUGUACUUGGUGUUACUGCGAAGGGGGGACGGAGAAGGCUAUGUUGGCCGGGCGACGGUUGUCCCGGUUUAAGCGUGUAGGCUGGUUUUCCAGGCAAAUCCGGAAAAUCAAGGCUGAGGCGUGAUGACGAGGCACUACGGUGCUGAAGCAACAAAUGCCCUGCUUCCAGGAAAAGCCUCUAAGCAUCAGGUAACAUCAAAUCGUACCCCAAACCGACACAGGUGGUCAGGUAGAGAAUACCAAGGCGCUUGAGAGAACUCGGGUGAAGGAACUAGGCAAAAUGGUGCCGUAACUUCGGGAGAAGGCACGCUGAUAUGUAGGUGAAGUCCCUCGCGGAUGGAGCUGAAAUCAGUCGAAGAUACCAGCUGGCUGCAACUGUUUAUUAAAAACACAGCACUGUGCAAACACGAAAGUGGACGUAUACGGUGUGACGCCUGCCCGGUGCCGGAAGGUUAAUUGAUGGGGUCAGCGCAAGCGAAGCUCUUGAUCGAAGCCCCGGUAAACGGCGGCCGUAACUAUAACGGUCCUAAGGUAGCGAAAUUCCUUGUCGGGUAAGUUCCGACCUGCACGAAUGGCGUAAUGAUGGCCAGGCUGUCUCCACCCGAGACUCAGUGAAAUUGAACUCGCUGUGAAGAUGCAGUGUACCCGCGGCAAGACGGAAAGACCCCGUGAACCUUUACUAUAGCUUGACACUGAACAUUGAGCCUUGAUGUGUAGGAUAGGUGGGAGGCUUUGAAGUGUGGACGCCAGUCUGCAUGGAGCCGGCCUUGAAAUACCACCCUUUAAUGUUUGAUGUUCUAACGUUGACCCGUGAUCCGGGUUGCGGACAGUGUCUGGUGGGUAGUUUGACUGGGGCGGUCUCCUCCUAAAGAGUAACGGAGGAGCACGAAGGUUGGCUAAUCCUGGUCGGACAUCAGGAGGUUAGUGCAAUGGCAUAAGCCAGCUUGACUGCGAGCGUGACGGCGCGAGCAGGUGCGAAAGCAGGUCAUAGUGAUCCGGUGGUUCUGAAUGGAAGGGCCAUCGCUCAACGGAUAAAAGGUACUCCGGGGAUAACAGGCUGAUACCGCCCAAGAGUUCAUAUCGACGGCGGUGUUUGGCACCUCGAUGUCGGCUCAUCACAUCCUGGGGCUGAAGUAGGUCCCAAGGGUAUGGCUGUUCGCCAUUUAAAGUGGUACGCGAGCUGGGUUUAGAACGUCGUGAGACAGUUCGGUCCCUAUCUGCCGUGGGCGCUGGAGAACUGAGGGGGGCUGCUCCUAGUACGAGAGGACCGG